rnacentral:ncRNA from 1 species
UCGAGCCGGAUGAUGAAAAAUUAUCAUGUCCGGUUCCUUUGGGGGAUGAAUCGAAUCUAUAAAAAUUCACCUAUCCUAAU